rnacentral:rRNA from 1 species
UACGAAGGGUGCAAGCGUUAAUCGGAAUUACUGGGCGUAAAGCGUGCGUAGGCGGUUUCUUAAGUCUGCUGUGAAAGCCCCGGGCUCAACCUGGGAAUGGCGGUGGAUACUGAGAAGCUGGAGUACGGUAGAGGAAGGUGGAAUUCCCGGUGUAGCGGUGAAAUGUGUAGAGAUCGGGAGGAACAUCAGUGGCGAAGGCGGCCUUCUGGACCAGUACUGACGCUGAGGCACGAAAGCGUGGGGAGCAAACAGG